CGCUUCGUAGCUCAGCUGGUACAGCGCUUGCCGCGUAGAGGCAUGGUGUUUCUGUCGCUGGUUCGAAUCCAGCCGAAGCCC
rnacentral:tRNA from 1 species